UCCGAAAUAUCUCAGUUAGGAGAGCGUUAUACUGAAGAUCUAAUGGUUCUUGGUUCAAUCCCGGGUUUUGGCA
rnacentral:tRNA from 1 species